CAGUAGCCGCGGUAAUACGGAGGGGGCUAGCGUUGUUCGGAAUUACUGGGCGUAAAGCGCACGUAGGCGGCUUUGUAAGUUAGAGGUGAAAGCCCGGAGCUCAACUCCGGAAUUGCCUUUAAGACUGCAGAGCUAGCAGGUGAGAGAGGUGAGUGGAAUUCCGAGUGUAGAGGUGAAAUUCGUAGAUAUUCGGGAGAACACCAGUGGCGAAGGCGGCUCACUGGCUCAUACUGGACGCUGAGGUGCGAAAGCGUGGGGAGCAAACAGGAUUAGAUACCCCAGUAGUCCCUGUCUCUUAUAC
rnacentral:rRNA from 1 species